rnacentral:tRNA from 1 species
GCGAGUAUCGUAUAGUGGCUAUUACGCAGCCUUGCCAUGGCUGAGACGCGGGUUCGAUUCCCGCUACCCGCUCCA